CAUCACCAACUCCAACUCUUCUGUCUCAGCUUUCUCAUCUUUAAAGUGAGGAAACCUCUCUUCCCAGGGUUGCUGCUAGGAUUAAAUUAUGCAGAGCUUGGAAGCUUUUAACUCUUGGUGGCUCCUGGUAAUGGCGGGCUUCCUUAUCCAGGUGUCUCCACUGCUGUGCUUGGGACAUGCAGGAUAGGAUAUGUAACCCAGGGUUUUCAAGUCUUUGGUUCUCCGUUUCCAUAUAGAUAAAUGUGCAGCUACCACAUAAAGAAGUCUGGACUUUCCUACUCUGAGAGCCAGUGGAGAGAGAGGAGCCCUGAAGGAGGAGUGGCUCCAUGCAGGAGAACCAAAGCUUUCCAGCCAACAGCCAGCAUUCACUGCCAGACAUGUCAGUGAGGCCACUUUCCUUGUUCCAUCCUCAGCUGAGCUUCCAGAUGAAUGCAGCUGCAUAAGUGAACUCAGCCAGCACCAUGGAGAGCAGAAGAAAUGCCCAGUUGAGCCCAGCCCACCCACAGAAUCAUGAAAAACAAAACAAUCUUUGUGUUUAGUCACCAAAAUCUGAGGUAAGAUGUCAUAUAGCAAUCACUGAAAUGGACAAGGUAUAUACUACUAUUUCCUUAUUCUACAAAUGAGAAAACUAAGAUCAUAGGAGAGUUAAGUAACUGCUCCCAUUCUGGGGAUGUGGCUCAGUGGUAGAGUACUUUCCUAGCAUGUGUGAGGCCCUGGGUUCUAUCCCCAGCACCACAAAAAGGAAAAAAAGAAAGACCAAGCAUAUAUAAAUAAAUAACUCAUCCAGGAUUAGGCCAUUGAUGAGUGACAAAGUCAAAGUCAAGGCAUUCUGGCUUCAGAAGCUAUAUGAAUAACCAAUGAGCUAUGGUAAGCUGAAAAAUGGUCCCUCAAAGAUGUCUCAUCCUAAUCCCUGGUACCUGUUAACAUGUUACCUUUCUUGGUAAAACAAGCUUUGCAGAUGAAACUAUGUUAAUGAUUUUGAGAUUAGGAGAUGAUCUUGGAUUAUCUGAGUGUGCAUGAUAUAAUCAGAAGGGUCUUUGUAAAAGGGAAGAAACAAGGUCAAAGUCAGAGAAAAAAAGCGAUGUGAUAUGGGGCCAGGAGCCAAGGAAUGAAGGCAACCUUUAGAAGCUGGACAAAGCAAGGAAACAACUUCUCCUCUAGAGCUUCUAGAAGGAACCGGCCCUACUGAUAUCUUGACUUUAGCACAGUGAAACUGAUUGUGGAUUUCUGACCUCUAGAACUGUAAACUAAUAAAUGUUGUUGUUUUAAGCCACCAAGUUUGUGGCAAUUUGUCACUGCAGCAACAGGCAACUAAAAUGCAGAGCCUCUCCUACUUAAAGGGAGCUGUAUCCUUUCCAUGGGCACAAGCCAGGCCAGUCUCUAUUGUCUGCUAUCACAUUUGGUGUUUCUGACUUCUCUGAUUGAAAAUCUCUUUUCUCUCCAUGCACUUAAUUAUUUUCUACCCACCUCUUCCAGGAAGUCUUCUCUGAACAUCCUAGAUGCUGCUGCUCUGUCCUAUCUCUAUAGCACUGGAUGCCUCACAACUCCUUACUCAGCACUUACUAAUAUCAGUGCUUAUGUUCUGGCAGUCAGCCUAGGGACAUUCUUAUGAGUGUUGUUAAGGUCUGUAAACAAGUCAAAAAUAACACCUGGUAUUUUGCCAGAGAAAUGUUAGAGUUCGAAACAAGUCUGGAUGGUGCCUGGCAAAAUGCCAGAGGGAGUGGUUUGAGAAGUAACAAAA